AGGGGAGGGUGGGUGAUGGGUAUUGUGGAGGGCACCUUUUGGGAUGAGCACUGGGUGUUGUAUGGAAACAAUAAAUUUGACAACAAAUUUUAUACUUAAAUUAAAAAUAAAUAAAUAAAAUCCUAAGGAAAUAAAUAAAUAAAUAAAUGAAGGAAUGAUGUUUUCGAGUAAAAUUGUCAGUUGAAAUUGACAAAUUCCACUCCAGGUGGAAAAAUUUCAGCAAAACAGCACAACGCAACGAGAGAUCCACAGCAGUGCUGGUCCAACAGAUGUGACUGCGGAAAGACAUGAAGUGAGGAGAAAAUAUCACAUAUUGGAGAACAGUAAGUAUCGAGGUCUCAUUUUUCUGAACAAGACCUGGGAAUAAAACUUUUUGAUUUCUUUCCUUUCGUGGCUUUGACAUCAGACACACAGCCACCUCCAUGUGCUAGGCUGAAGCUAGAAGGCUAUCAUCAGUCAGUGCACUCCUGAGUCUUCCCAUUAGACGGCUGCUCCUUUUCAGAGAGCUGGGCUGCAAAGAUGUGGGUGGUUGUGCAAACAGUUGGAUGGGUGACCAGAUGUACGUCCACUGAAUCUGUGCCCCAAGAGCUAGAUGACUGUGUCAAUGGAAAGGUCUAUCUUAAUGAGUGAAGAGACGACAUUGCCCAAUGCAUAUAUUUAAAAUCUGGCACAACAAGUAACUAAGUUCGCCAUUCGCUACAUUGAACCAAACUGGCUCUACACUUGUACAUCUGUGAGUCUUUCACACCAUAUGUCCCUAUGUUCCACUUUAACUUAAUUUUCUGAUGCCAGUAUCUUAGAAUAGGAACAAUUGAAGUCAAGUUUUAUUUGGGGGAAAAAAAAACCUUCCAGGAGUAUGUAGAAAUUCAUAAAAAUAGAGAGAAGACAAAUUUCUAUUUAGAAUAAUGUUGACUCGAAGACUCGAAGGUUUUUUCUCUUUUUGAAAGUGUAAUUAACACUGUUUUCCCUUGACAGUUGUACUGAAUUGAAUUAUAAUGCAAGGAUUAUCCUGGUGCUCAGCCCAGCCCAGGCAGUGAUCCAAGAAGGCACCCAAGUAGUUAUGGCUUAGAAGUUGAAUGAGCUUAUUCCAGGGAAUACAUGACCGUUGAAUUAGGAGACAGUUACAAUUAAAGCUAAGGCCAUAUUAAUCCAGUGCCUUUAACUUCAUGGAUAUUUAUUCCUGGAUGCAGCCACGGAUACAAUGAAGUAACCACGUCUGCCUUAAAAUUGUCCUUAGCUUGCCUAACUUCAGUCUUUCUCCUGUUCCUAGGCCCUGAGCUCCUUUCAUAGAGUAUUUACUUUAGAAAACUUGGAAUUACAAUGCUUUCUUUGCCCCUUUGUGUUAAAAAUCUUUUUAAAGCCCACUAGCCAGUUUUAUAGCCCAGCACUGUAUUUCUCAAAGACCUAGCAGCAUAUCUUUGAAAUGUAAUCUAAUCAUCAAGGAAGCUAGCACUCCCAGCUCCCAGUUUCUGUGGGAGAGGAGGAACCUAAAUUUGGUGGGUGCCUUGCUCUAACUUAUACAACUACCUGCUGUUUGAAGAUAGGAGAAAGUUGUCUUUUCCUUUGUAUAAAUCCAGCUAGCAAACACAUAGGGCCUACUAUCUCUCCCUCAUCCCAGCUCUAAAAAUUUUUCUGUUCUUUGUUUCAGCAGAGUGAAGUGCAAAAUGAAUAACCUUGAAUCAGGUUUUCCUAGUCUGUUUAACUUUGGUGAAGCUUUCGCUUCAACAGAAUCUAAAACUGUGUUUUCUAAUUGAAUGGAUGUUGGUACCUCACUGUGUGAGGUAAGAAGACAAGGGACAGCUAAAACAAAGGGCACACUAGGGCUCCGGGGGAUCUGUGAAUGUGAAUGAAGCAGAUGGCCUUGAAACAAGAGGAGCACGUGGUCAGUGGAGAGAUGAGAAAAGCAAAGGAGAAUGGGGCGGAACACAUGUUCAACUGCACACAUUCAAACUGGACACUUGUCAACGAUUUGUGCUUCUUUUGAGUUCCUGUAUGAUUAGAAGACAGUGAUGUGAUCUGGAAAAUGGAUAAUAAAUUAUUUAGUAACA
rnacentral:lncRNA from 1 species